UACAGAGGGUGCGAGCGUUGUCCGGAAUCACUGGGCGUAAAGGGCGCGUAGGUGGUGGCUUAAGCGUGCGGUGAAAGCUCGGGGCUCAACCCCGAGUCGGCCGUGCGAACUGGGCUCACUGGAGCAUAGUAGAGGCAGGUGGAAUUCCGGGUGUAGCGGUGGAAUGCGUAGAGAUCGGGAAGAACAUCAGUGGCGAAGGCGACUUUCUGGCCUGUUCUUGACGCUGAGGCGCGAAAGCUAGGGGAGCAAACGGG
rnacentral:rRNA from 1 species